GGUGGGUGUUUACCAAGGUGGUGCAGUUUACCUCCCUUGCCAUCACCGGGUAUACAUUCAUCCG